GACGAACGCUGGCGGCGCGCCUAACACAUGCAAGUCGAACGGUUAGAGCCCCUUCGGGUGGGUUUCUCGUGGCGCGCAGCUGUGUGUCACAUGGGCAACCUCCCCCUCUCAUUUGGGUAGCAACGCAGAACACUGGGGCAUAUACAAGACAUCGGCUCUUCCGCCUGGGAGGCGCGUGGAAAGUUCGGCGGGUGGGGAUGGGCCCGCGGCCUGUUAGCUUGUUGGUGGGGUAAUGGCCUACCAAGGCAAUGAUGGGUAGCCGGGUUGAGAGGGCGACCGGCCACAUUGGGACUGAGAUACGGCCCAGACUCCUACGGGAGGCAGCAGUGGGGAAUAUUGCACAAUGGGCGGAAGCCUGAUGCAGCGACGCCGCGUGCGGGAUGACGGCCUUCGGGUUGUAAACCGCUUUCAGCAGUGACGAGGCGAAAGUGACGGUAAUUGGUGAAGAAGCACCGGCUAACUACGUG
rnacentral:rRNA from 1 species